rnacentral:rRNA from 1 species
UGGGGGAUAUUGCACAAUGGGGGAAACCCUGAUGCAGCAACGCCGCGUGAAGGAAGAAGGUCUUCGGAUUGUAAACUUUUGUCCUUGGUGAAGAUAAUGACGGUAGCCAAGGAGGAAGCCCCGGCUAACUACGUGCC